AAUAAAUUUCUGUACCAAUCGAAGUGACCAUCUAGCAAUGGUACCCGACGACCGGAUAGGUCGAAUGUGUAGAAUAACAUCCUUAGAACCCAUGCUGAUAUAGUUUUCAUAUAAUUCAUCCCCUUGACUAAAAUGAUCAUAGGACACCCCAGAGUUCAAUUAUCAACUCUGAUCAGGUUGUCCACAUUGUAUUUCAAAAUAUCAAAUCCAUCUGAUGGAUUAUCCUGGCCAA
rnacentral:lncRNA from 1 species